rnacentral:lncRNA from 1 species
ACGCCAUAUCUCUUACAAACCCUAACGAUAAUUCGCUGAAAUACAAGUUAGCCUGAUAUGUCAUUAAGCAAACAAACGCUGGAGUUAAUAUUUGAUAUGCCGAUUUUCGCUAAUUUUAGACACAUCCCAAAAUAUGCUCCCGAUUUUGAACAUUAAUAUCUCCGUGAAUUUUUAAGUAAAAUACAACUGCAAUAUAUCAAAAUCUAAGUUAGUC